AACGUAGGGCCCGAGCGUUGUCCGGAAUCACUGGGUGUAAAGGGUGCGUAGGCGGGCGUGCGCGUCUGGGGUGAAAGGCUCCGGCUCAACCGGAGACAUGCCCUGGGUACGGCACGUCUUGGGGGCGGGAGAGGGCGAUGGAAUUCCUGGUGUAGCGGUGAAAUGCGUAGAUAUCAGGAGGAACACCGGUGGCGAAGGCGGUCGCCUGGCCCGCAACCGACGCUGAGGCACGAAAGCGUGGGGAGCAAACAGG
rnacentral:rRNA from 1 species